CACUAACUCAAAUAACAUGCUUAGCACUUUAUACCUGACAAAUAGCAAGAAUUCAAUAAGGGACAUGACCACCAGCAGUUCUGGAGUCACAUCCCAAAGAGCUUUCGCCAUGGUGGGAAGUUGUAUGAAGAGCUUAUGCCUGGCCCCGUCUGGGCGGCCUAUACAGCCCGUGUUACAGGGGUGGGGUAGGUGCAGUGGUUAACAGGUCCUCCAGAACCCCUGGGGAUGGCAGCAAUGAUUCCCAAGAGAAAGACUGAAGCUGUGACAAGAACAAGAGCUGAAGUCAAGGUCAACAGAAGUCCAUCACUCCAACCGGGUCAGCA
rnacentral:lncRNA from 1 species